UACAUGGGGUGCAAACGUUGCUCGGAAUUAUUGGGCGUACAGCGCGCGUAGGCGGUUAUCUAAGUCGGAUGUGAAAGCCCUCGGCUUAACUGAGGAAGUGCACCCGAAACUGGAUAGCUAGAGUACGAAAGAGGGUCGCGGAAUUCCCGGUGUAGAGGUGAAAUUCGUAGAUAUCGGGAGGAACACCGGUGGCGAAGGCGGCGACCUGGGUCGAGACUGACGCUGAGGCGCGAAAGCGUGGGGAGCAAACAGG
rnacentral:rRNA from 1 species